UCCGGUUUGUCACCGGCAGUCUCCCUAGAGUGCCCUUGCGUAGCAACUAGGGACAAGGGUUGCGCUCGUUGCGGGACUUAACCCAACAUCUCACGACACGAGCUGACGACGGCCAUGCAGCACCUGUCACUGCGCUCCUUGCGGCACUCCUCUGUUUCCAGUGGAUUCGCAGGAUGUCAAGCCUCGGUAAGGUUCUACGCGUACCGUCAUAUUAAACCACAUCAUCCUCCGCUUGUGCGGGUCCCCGUCAAUUCCUUUGAGUUUUAGCCUUGCGGCCGUACUCCCCAGGCGGGGAACUUAAUGCGUUAGCUGCGACACAGAAUCCGUGGAAUGGACCCUACAUCUAGUUCCCAACGUUUACGGCAUGGACUAC
rnacentral:misc_RNA from 1 species